rnacentral:rRNA from 1 species
UACGGAGGGGGCUAGCGUUGCUCGGAAUCACUGGGCGUAAAGGGUGCGUAGGCGGGUCUUUAAGUCAGGGGUGAAAUCCUGGAGCUCAACUCCAGAACUGCCUUUGAUACUGAAGAUCUUGAGUUCGGGAGAGGUGAGUGGAACUGCGAGUGUAGAGGUGAAAUUCGUAGAUAUUCGCAAGAACACCAGUGGCGAAGGCGGCUCACUGGCCCGAUACUGACGCUGAGGCACGAAAGCGUGGGGGAGCAAACAGG